rnacentral:rRNA from 1 species
AACGAACGCUGGCGGCAGGCUUAACACAUGCAAGUCGAACGGUUACAGGUCUUCGGAUGCUGACGAGUGGCGAACGGGUGAGUAAUACAUCGGAACGUGCCUAGUAGUGGGGGAUAACUACUCGAAAGAGUGGCUAAUACCGCAUGAGAUCUACGGAUGAAAGCAGGGGAUCGCAAGACCUUGUGCUACUAGAGCGGCCGAUGGCAGAUUAGGUAGUUGGUGGGAUAAAAGCUUACCAAGCCGACGAUCUGUAGCUGGUCUGAGAGGACGAUCAGCCACACUGGGACUGAGACACGGCCCAGACUCCUACGGGAGGCAGCAGUGGGGAAUUUUGGACAAUGGGCGCAAGCCUGAUCCAGCAAUGCCGCGUGCAGGAUGAAGGCCUUCGGGUUGUAAACUGCUUUUGUACGGAACGAAAGGCCUUGGGUUAAUACCCUGGGGUCAUGACGGUACCGUAAGAAUAAGCACCGGCUAACUCCGUGCCAGCCGCCGCCGUAAUAC